rnacentral:piRNA from 1 species
CGCAUGGACAUUCAGCAUCUGUAAGGGG